UGUGAGGGGACAGGUGUCAGGGGACUGGUGUGAGUGGACUGUGCGUAGGGGACAGGUGAGGGGGACAGUGCUGAGGGGACAGGUGCCAGGGACUAGGGAGACAUGAAAGGGAGGACAGUUGUGAGGGAUAGAAGACAGUGCUGGGGGACAGGGGACAGGUGUGAGGAGACUGGCCCUGUCUGCCUCCCCCCAGAGAUGCCAGAGCUGCUUUCCAGGAAAUUUCAGCAGGAAGCCCCAGUAGUGAUGUCCCAUGGCAGGCAUUGACUUUUGACUAUCAAGCCAUCCUCAACUUAAAAGUUGCAAUAUUUCUGCCUACUACAUCUAGAUUUGAAGAGCUGACAGCCUCCUACAGGGCUGUACAUCCGCAGGUUUCCAGCAGAUGGCAAGAGAUUCCCAGGCAACGCUCUGGGAAUCACGGUUGUGCAGGCGAUUCUUACAAGUCGUACGUCUUUAUUUAGUGCUUCAGGGUGUUGAGAA